UACGUAGGGUGCAAGCGUUGUCCGGAAUUACUGGGCGUAAAGCGCGUGUAGGCGGUUAUCCAAGUCGGGUGUGAAAGCCUUGAGCUCAACUCAAGAAAUGCACUCGGUACUGGGUGACUAGAGGACCGGAGAGGAUAGUGGAAUUCCCAGUGUAGUGGUGAAAUACGUAGAGAUUGGGAAGAACACCAGUGGCGAAGGCGGCUAUCUGGACGGUUUCUGACGCUAAGACGCGAAAGCGUGGGGAGCAAACAGG
rnacentral:rRNA from 1 species